UCCCAAUCAAAACGUGACACGUGGCAUUAAAAAAAAUUAAAAAUGAAAUUCAAGAUUCUGUUAGAUUUUAGGGGUAGAAAAAGGCCACAAAGUUAAAGGUGGGGCCAUUUUCUUCGCCAAAGGUAAACGGAGGGCAAUUUUGUUCCGGAGUCGAUAGGUUGAGGGCAGUUUUGACCCUUAACCGUUCAAAAAAUUUCCAUACCGAUUAGUUCUUUUACGAUUAGAAGUUGGAGUCACUGGUGGUCUAAUACCCCUUGUAGCACUAGCAACUCCAACUCCAAUACUACAAACAUUUCCACUACUAGGUGUAGNNNNNNNNNNNNNNNNNNNNNNNNNNNNNNNNNNNNNNNNNNNNNNNNNNNNNNNNNNNNNNNNNNNNNNNNNNNNNNNNNNNNNNNNNNNNNNNNNNNNNNNNNNNNNNNNNNNNNNNAAUCAAUCUCUACAUUAUCAUUAGGCGAUGAUUCAGAAACAUGUGUUAUUGGGUCAUUAUUAUUACUACCGGAAGCUACAGGACUACCUCUUUUUUAUUUUCACCCCUACCAGUAAUUUUUCUACACGCUCUUUUAGCAGCACUAAACAUAUUGUAAAAAUGAAAGUAUAAGCUAAAAUUAAAUAUGCAAUUAAUAUUUUAAAUAAGAGAAAGAGUAGGAGGGAGUGCACCGGAAUCGACAAUAAAUUGAACACUUGAUUAAGCAAAUCCGGUGUUACCACGAACAAACAUCAAGCAAGUAUUUCAAUUUUGAACUUCAAGCUUCAAAUUCUGAAUGACAAAUUGCGAUAAAUUAAAUUCGGGAAAAGAGAGACAAAUAAAAUUAUAAAAUAAGAACAAUCUUGCAAAUUAAAGGGAAGAGAGAGAUUUAUAAUUUGAGAAUUGAGAUAAGAAUUUUGAGUGAGGAAACGAAGAAGAUGGAGAGUAUAAUUACAGAUUUUAAGAAUGGUUAAUACUGUAAAUUUAAAAAUACAAAAAAUGAUCAUUUUUGCAAAAAUAUCCGUUGGCCAGCGGUAAUGUGGGCCCCAAAAAAUUUAAAAAAUCAAAAACAUAUUACCGUUGAAGCAGGCUGGUCCAAUCGGUUCAGGAUACUGUUCAGUCAAACCGGGCCGGUCCGGUCCGGUCCCAACCCCAAAAAUCCCAAACGAACCAACCCCCUACUUCCCUCUAACCCAGCCCACCCGACGCCUUAGUAAUCGGGUCGGUCCGGUCUCGCUCCGACCCGGCCCGGUUGACACCCAUACUUUAUUCUACGCGUUCCUCUUUUCCUUUUUAAGUGUGUACAAUUAGUAUUAAUAAUUGCAAGAUCUAAUAAAAAUAUAAUUAAAGCAAUAAUUAAGCUAAGCAUGAAAAAGAUUAACUUAAGAAAGAAACUAUCCGUUGGUAACUUACCGGACAUAAUGUUGAACUUAGUCCUUCUGGUAUCCUUUUCAAGCCCAGUGGGCCCAAUAGCCUCAGACCAAGCAACCAAAAUAUUCACUCCAGGCCCAAUAACAUCGGGCUUCAAAAUCUGUGGGGUCACAGUAUUGGGCCCUCUUGAACUAAACGGAGCCACAACCGGCGACGGUUUCACAUUCACCACCGUCCCACCAAAGCUGAGCACGGCGGCCGGGUUCUUUUCACUCUUUACAUACUGCCUUAUAAAAUCUCCCGAUUUACUACCUACAGCUACCGCCGGUAACAAAUGAUUAUCCGCCACCAAUUCCUCAACGCUCUCCGCCGUGUUCGCCAAUAUCAUACCAACCCCACCAACUUCCUUCACUACUAAACCCUUUUCUACUCCCGCAUUUGUCCCUCUAUCACAUAACACUAUUUUCCGUCGGACCAUUUUCGGGUCAAGUGAACCCGGCAAACAAAGACUUGCACUACUAUCUGUGCUGUGAACUAAUGAAACUGCCUUUUUACCCAUUCCUUUUCCACUGUAUAAUGAAACUCCCGUAAUCUUUUUCCCGCUACCUAAAGUAGCAAAAGCAGGGAAAUCACGAUCUAUGGUACCAGCACCAACGGUCAUGAUCCAAGGAGCUGUAUUUGCAAGGGAACCUUUAGCUGGACCGCUAUUUCCAGCUGAACAGGAAACAACAAUUCCUUUUUUCAUAGCAGAGAAAGCACCAAUAGCAAUGGUAUCACGAUAAUAAGGACCCGAUCCACCACCCAAAGAUAAUGAAAGUACAUCAACUCCAUCUAAAAUAGCACGUUCCAUACCAGCUAGAAUAUCAGAACCAAAACAACCAGUACGCCAGCAUACCUUGUACGUAGUACACGCGCUCGCGGUGCCAUACCACGCGCUACACCACUAGCGUACCCGAGAAGGCUCGCGUUCGCCACCGGUGCACCAGUGGCGGUGCUGGAUGUGUGGGUCCCGUGACCGUCUUGGUCACGAGGUGACUCCGGCUGUCUAGGUUGGUUCGUGAACGAGCCAGAGGCUGACAUUUGAUAACCUUUGGAGAAAAAACGAGCACCUAUCGGCUUUUUGUUGCAAUGUACUUUCGGAUCGAAAUCGGGACCCGAUUCACAUUCACCCUUCCACCUUGACGGCACAUCGGGCAUACCGAAAUCGUUAUAGCUCUUCGACUCUGGCCAAACUCCGGUGUCGAGAACUCCAAUAACGACAUCCAGCAGCGUUGUUGAGCUCCUGUGGACUGUGACCAGCCCAAAGGCCGAGCUCAUUAUUCAACCCCAGAAACUCAAGAGUCCUUGUUGUAUGGAGUGUAUAAACAGUAUCCUCGUAAACUCCAACAACAUCAUCAGAUUGACGGAGUAGUUCAGCUUCAUGUGGGUCAAGAGAAGCAGCAAAACCAGAAUAAGCAGUGUCGUAAGAGUAAAGAAGUGACGAUUCGUCAGAGGUUGAAGAAGAGGACAAAGCUUGGAGCUGAGCAUUGUACCAAUCAUGGUGUGUAGAAUAGAAGCAGCAAAACUAGAAUAAGCAGUGCCCUAAGAGUAAAGAAGGGAUGAUUCAUCAGAGGUUGAAGAAGAGGACAAGGUUUGGAGCUGAGCAUUGUACCAAUCAUGGUGGGUAGGAAAAGAAGAAGGUAUUUGCUGAUUUUUCAUGUGAACAAUGUAAACUUUCUUGGCUAAACAUGGCUGAAGAACAAGGAGAACAACAACGACGGAGAAACAGAGGAAAGAACCCAUUUGGAAAAACCGGGAAAAUGGGAGAUUGGAGGAAAUGAUUUUAAUGGUGUUUUUGUUUAUAGGGAAAAUAUCUCAGUGAGGAAAAAGAAAAGGGAAGAAUGGAAAGGAGGAGACAGUCGCCGUGAGAUGCGACUGACAGAAGAAGAUAGAAAGAAGUAUGGAGGACUAAUGUCGGGUUUAUAUUACCAGUGGGGUUAUUACUAAGGCUUGGAGUUUUCUCGUUUUACAACAAUGCCACUAACGGAGGUGGAUUUUUGACCGCCGUGGUUAAACAUGAGUUAUCAAUGGGAUUCACAUUUUCACCACACUAGUGCCGCUGUUAAAAAAAGAUUCACCAUUGAACCUAGCCAAUCUCUUUUUCUGAUAUAAAAAAUAAUAAUAAUACUAUAUAAAAAAAACUCUUUUUCUGAUAUAAAAAAUAAUAAUAAUACUAUAUAAAAAAAAACUCUUUUUCUGAUAUAAAAAUAAUAAUAAUACUAUAUAAAAAAAGUCUUUUCUGAUAUAGCUCAUCUAUCCCAAAAUAUUCCUUAUAAUAGUAGUACAUUUUACAAGGAGGAUAAAAAAUAUAUUUAUAAUUUUUUGUGUAAUUUUGAUAAUAUUUUUACACUAGUUCGGGAAAAAUGUUUUAAAAAAUUAUAUAUUAAAUUUUUAUAGCCAAAUUUACCUGAAAAACUAGUAUAUUAUCUUGCGAGUGCAUGUUUAAUGAUGGUAUAUAUUGCCUAAUUUUUAAUACAAUUAGAAGAAAUAAAGAUAUUCUGUUUUCUUAUUAUCUCAAAGGGGUUAAUAAUGAUGUGAAUAAUGAUAAUAGUGAUGUAAUUUACUUUCAUGAGCUACUUAUUUAUUUCUUCAAGACAGGUAGCUUUGUGGAAAUGAAAAUUAAAGGCUACUUACUUUACUUCAAACUCAAAUAGCACCUCCUAGCUUUCUUCUUUACACUUUCUGUCUUUUGCUGUCAUUCAUAAUAUACAAUUAAACUUCUCUAUAACACCUCUAUUUAUUUCGAACAUUUUAAAAUUAUUAUGAAGUUCGGCUAUUGUGGAACGGUUUGACUGUAUUUGUCAAAUUCAUUAAACCUAUUUGCUAAUAUUGUGGUUAAUAGUCUCAUAUCACUAAAAUAAUUCAUUACUUUAGAAAUUAAAGAUCUUAUGUUUAAGAAUAUGAUUACCAAAUGGUCUAUCUACUUAGCUUUGAAACACAUUUAUUUUCCAUCUCAUAAUUAUGUGUUUUGGAUACAAUGAGGGACUAGAAAGUUAUACAUUCAAUAAGAUAUUAACACCAUAACUUCCCCUUUUUAUUAUUUUCAUUUUGAGAUAUGUGUGCGACUAUUUAGGUUAAUUUUUUUCUUUCCAUUUUCUAUUUCUAUUAUAGUUGUAUAAGGACUUUGUUUGUUAAUUAACUAGAGAAAAAAAAUUUACUAUUAGUGGUAAAGUCAUGGCUCUUCUUAAUAAGAUAAAGUCUAUGAUGCUUGACAAGAGGGAGAUCAUUUAUCGUGUACAACAACAAUGUUCUAGUGAAAUUCCACAAGGAAAAUUAUGUAUAGUGUAAGCAAAAAAAAUAGAAAAUUAUGUUACGAAUUAUUUAGUGAAAUCCAAACCCCAACAAUAGUCCAUUCUCAGUUACCAAAUUAAAUUAUAAAAGGACGAUAAAAAAAAUUGGCUAAAGAUUGUAGGAAAAGAAUGUGUUUUGGAAAAAUUAACUUUUUUGCAAAAAUGUUCCAACUAUUACCAUGCACAAAUUGUUACUUUAAUAUUCGCAAAAAUAUUUCUUACUUGGCUAAACACAUAUUUUUAUUCUCCAAAAGUAUUUUUUUCGAAUUGGACAAAUACUUUUCAAAAUAAGCAAAUUUUGAAAGGCAGCCAAAAAAAAGCUCCUCUAGCAUGGGAUGUUUACGCCAAAUAAUAAUAAUAAUUAAUUAACACAUUAAAGUAAAAUAUUAAUUAAUUGUAACUUAGUUAUAUUUGUGAAGACAUGUAUAAUGUAUUUAAGGAUUGGAAAGUUGUUUACGUCUCCUAAAAAGGUGCCUCUUAGGGACUAGAAAAUGUAACAUUGCCCAUAAUUUGUGACAUAAAAAGAAAUAGUGAUAGAGACAGGGCCAUUUUACAAAUAAGGAACUUUUACCAAAACAAUUCGUUCCUAAAAAGGUUCCUCUUAGUCUUGGGGACUAGAAAAUGUAACGUUGCCCAUAAUUUGUAGCAUAAAAAGGAAAUAGUGAUAAAGACAAGACCAUUUUACGAAUAAGCAACUUUUACCAAAACAAUUCAAAAAGAAUUCUUUAGGCUGAUUACAGACAAAAUUCUAAAUUCCUCUAAAUCUCCACUUAAUUUCUUUAUUGAGAUUUUAGUACACUAAUUUAGGUCUUUGUGCUGUUUUUGUUUUCUUGGGAAAAUGACAACUAUGUUUCACGGAUUUUAAUUGCAAUUUAGAUAGAAUAUUUUUUUAAUUCCAAUUUUCCAGUCUGUUAAGCAACGAAGAGUGAAUAAAAAGGGUCAACUUAAAAAAUUGGAAAGACAAUUGCAUUUAACUUUAUUAAAGAUUGAGACCCCAGAUUAUUAUUUUUUCCCUUCUUCCACAUAAGGUUUAUAUAAGUGGAACUUAAGAUUUAUUGCUCUGCUAGAAAUAGAAAAGAAGAAAUCUAUUGCUGAUUCAUGAUAUUAUUUGCUUAAGAUUGAGAUUUGACGUUGUAUUUAUUUUCAAUAAAUUUGAACAUAUCGCUCGGAUUAAAAAAAAAAAAUUAAAGACAAUCUCUGUUAUAUUCUAUCCAAAAAUAGCCAAAAGAUAUAUACCACCAAAAUAAAUUAAUUGAUUUGGUUUUAUUUAUAUUUUAGAAAAAUUUCGAAAUGUUGUCUUGUUAUCAAUUUAAUAGAGAAAAAUGGUGAGUAAGAAUUUAUAUCAGCGAUUAUUAAAUAUUUGAAAGUGAGACAUAGUUAUUGUUGGUUUUUGAAAAGUUUUUGUAAAUAAAUUUAUUGCAAAACUUAACAAACAGGCCUACGCAUUCUAUUUAGUUGAAAAAGAGUAUCAGGGACACGGUAGAUCUAUUUAUAUUACUUUAGGCGAUAAAGAAAGAAAAAAAAAGAUUGUGAGAAUUAAACGGUAAGUCUUUCAUUACAAUAAUACUUAUCGAAUGUUUAUAUUAAUUAAAUAAUUUAAUCUUAGUAGUUAAUCAUUAAAGUGAAAAUACAUAUCACUUAACUAGGGACAGAACAAGAGUAUUAUCCAAAGUAGUUUUGAUUUAAACCUUGUAUUUUGUUAAUCAAUUCAUUGAAUAUGCAUAUAUUAUUAGUUAAUUUAAAUACAAUCACUUAAAUAACUAGAAUUCCAAUCGUUCAAAUUUCAAAUUAUGACUUCCACUUAACUAUACUUAAGCAAUAAAAUACGUGUGAGCACGUGAUUUUUGCUUCACAUGAAUUACUCCCACAAAAUUAAAACAAAAAUUGUCUAUUUUAUUGUGUGCUUUCGAGAAUUUUUCGUGAUAUUUUAUUAAUUAUUUAUGUUUAUAGAUAAAAAUACAAAAAAUAUGUCGCAUUUGCAUUUGAGAUUUAAUUUUGUAAUUAGGAGUGAUUAAGUUGGUUUUACGAAAAUAAAAAAUCACAAAAAAUAUGCAUCUUUUGCAUUUUUAGCCUUUAAUGUCCAAUUUGCGUGAUUGUUGUGUUUUAAUUAUUAUUUAAUUUUAAACAAUAAUUAUUCAUUAGUAUUUUAAGAUAAUUUUGGGUUUUAUAAUUUAAUCUUAGCAUUGUAGUUUUAUUAAUUAUUAAAAGAAAAGAGAACAAAAAAUAGAAGAAGACUUGGAUUGGGCCAAUUUUCGGAAUUAAAAUUAGGCCCAAAACACUUCUACCCAACACAAAAUAAUACCAAGCCCACACGCCAUAACCCAAAACACCCAACGACCCAACCAAUAACCCAUAACCCGACUCAUUUCCUUACCUAAAAUUUUAGCCUAGACCUAAAACACAACAUUUCUUCUUCAGCCGCAAUCCAAACAACCAUCCCCCUCUCUUCAUCUUCCUCCACACACACCCCUCCCAAACCCUAAACCUUGAACCAAACACCACCCUCCAUCACCAUCGUCCUCAACAUCCAGCUUGUCCGAACAGCCAUGGCCGUCACCAACGUUGCUGCUUGCCAUCGUCACCAACAUCGCUGCCUGCCACAUCACCAACAUCAAUGCCUGCUUCAUCGUCGCCGCUGCCAUGGCCGGUUUCAUCCAGCGUUCGUCGUCUUCGGCCAUAGCCGUUGGCAUGGAUGGCCAUUGUUGUCGUUCUUCUUUUUCAUCCUUGAAGAAGAAAACGAAACGCUGAUAAGUUGCACGCCAGAAACAAGCUUUCCGUCGAACCUGGUUAAGCAGCAACGAGCAGCUCCCUAGCUUCUGCUUCGCGUCAUCUCUCCCAUCGUGGUCCAGUUCAUGGCCUAGUUCGUCGAGGUCAUUCCUCGUCAACUCCAGGUUUGUUCGUUGAUUAUUAGUUCCGUUCGAGUUAAAAAAUAAGCGGUCGAGGUCGUUGUUGAGGUUUUGGGCAGAUUCGAGUUAUUUUGGGUUUCAAAUUUUCCGGGCAGAUUUGUUUCCAUUCGAAUUCGUCGUGGUUUCGAUCCGGUUAGUUGGUUUAAGUUUUAUUUUUGUCCGUAUUUUAUUUGAUAUUUUCGAACUUAAAAUUAGUAUAUGUUUGAUUAUUUUCUUGCUCGUUGGUUGUCAUUUUCUUGUUUAUUUCUUCAGUUGGUUCUUAUUUAUUUAAAAGAAAUUAGUUUUAAUAUAGAAAUGUGUUAGUUUAAUAAAUCUUUCAUCUUAGUUGCAAUAUUGUUAGAUUUAAUUUGAAGUUUAAUUGAUUAUUGAGUUUAGUGAAUUGAAUCUGUUUUUAUUAUUAUGCUUAAGUCUAAAUUUGGACCUUAGUUAGAAAUUUGAAUUUGUUUGUUUGAUCUGUUUAAGUUUAAUUUGAAUUUGAGCUUAGUGAUUUAAAUAUACUUGCUUGUUAUUGUUGAUUGAAUCUUAAAAUAUAUUUGCUGUUAGAAAUGUUAUUCAAUCAAAUAAUUUUGGUUCUUUGUUGUUCAUCAUUUAAUUUGAAUUGUUGGUUGAAUUUGAUUAAGAAUUGGUUAUAGUUGCUAUAUUUUGGUUAAUUGAUUUAGGUGAAUUGAUUAUAGCUGAUGGGGUAGAGUGGUGAUUUCAAUAAUUUUAGGGGUAUUUUUGGAAUUGAAAAUAUAAAGAAUUGUUUAAAAAUAGUGUGGAACAUAAUUAUGUAAAUUAAAAAGAGGGAACAAGACAUGUGGGGAGUAUAAUGAUUAAAGUAAAAAAGAGAGUGGAUUAUGGGGUCCAUGUUUGACUGCUUUUGUUGAUUGGAAAUUAGAAAUACUGGGAUAAUAAUAAAACGUGAGGAAUAAUAAUUAAAGGGUAGAAGAAAUGAGUCUUGUUUUGGGGUAUAUAAUGAGACUCAUUUUGUCACUUAAAAGAGAGAGAAAACAUUUAGACUGAAUUGAGAGAGAAAAAAAAGAUUUCUAUACUAGAGGGAAAUCAAAAUUGCAGAACUUAAGAAUUUAGUCUUGAAAAAAAAAGUGAGGUCUUUUCUUUACUGCUAAAUAUCAGAACUAGUAAUGUUACUACUUCAAUGGUUAUUGCUGGAUUUUCUGUUUGGUUUUAAAAUCUAUUCCUGGGGUCUUCCUGCACUGUUUGUUACUGGUUUACUGCUUUGGUUGCUGAACUUGUUGUUGAUGUGUGUGCUUCUAUUGCUUCCUACUGAUCUUCCUCUUCUUUGUAUUCCAAUACCAGGUAAUCCACUUUGAAUCACUUUGAUGUACGCCUUGAAGAUGAAAUGAGAUGGCAGAAAUUUAAGUAUUUAGUUAUGAUAUAUUUUUAUUUUAGUUAAACAUUAAUUAUAUACUUUUAUGCUAUACAAAUGGUAAAGGUAUGCCUAAUUAAGAUUGUUUCCUAUUAGAUUGCGAAACUAAAAUCCUUAAAAUGGCGUGAAUAUUAGUCAAUACGGCAUUCUUGUUUAAUUUGAGCAAGUUGUUAGAUUAUUGAACUAUAGGAUGUAUGUUUGCAAGAAUCGCAUAACUAAUAGCUUCAUCUUUACUAAUUCUUAUGUUUAAAAUAAAGUAAUUCGGAAUCUUUUUCUUUUCAAGUUAAUUUAAUUGAUAGGUAAAAUCCAAAUUUGAAUUUGCAAAAAUAAGAAUAAAAACAACUUGAGAUGGGUGAAUUUUGAAACUUGUUAGUAAUGAAGAUCCGUGAAUAUUAGAGAAACAUAUUGGUUAAUAGUAGAAUCAGUAAAUUAGACAUAUUUGAAGUAUGAUUCUACGUAGCAAGGCUAAGAGCAUUAAACCAUAGGCGCGAAUUUGAGCAAUACGAGCUAACGUUUAAGUUUAGUAAUUCUUUUUAUAAGCUUUUAGUAAUUAUAGUUAAAUCUAGUUUCAAAUAGUUAUGAAUAAUUAGUUUCAAUAGUUUUUUUUACAAUGCGAGUUUUAAUCUAGCUAUAAUUGAUUUCUUUUGAAUAUUAGUUGUCAAAUUUUAUCUUUUAUUUAUAAUUUCAGAAUUUUAUUUUUAUUUUAUUUUAUAAUUUCAAAUUAUUUAUUUAUUUAUUUCUUUUCCACUAAUAUUUGUCUUAAUCUAGCAAUUAGUGUGUUGCAAUUUUUAUUUUUAAGGUCGUAAUGAAUUAGGAUUUUUCUUUCUUUAUUUUAGAAAUAAAUUUAAAUAGAAAUAUAGCCACUUCAGGAUAUCCUUAAAAUAAAGGAGGCGUGCCUCGCCACAGUACAUUAUAAAUUGCGUGGCCCUCAAAUAAAGGGUUAAAAAUACUUAGAAAAUCGGGAAGGGUCGCUUAGCGAAUUUGCAUGGCCUUUUCCCAAAAUAAGAACACGUUAGUCUCUUUAGGACGCGCCUAAUUAAUCUUACCAUCCUAAAUUCGGGUGUGCAUUUAUGCGAUCCAAAUUCAAAUCACGACAGAGUCGAAACAUGCCGACGACAACGCGUACACUGACGUGGUUUGAGAUAUGUUUUCACAAUGUUGCAAUUCUCUAUAAAAUAAUUAAACAAUAAUAAUUUGAAUAAAAGAGGUUAAAGUUAAAAUUGGCACAUAAGUUACAAGUUGUAAUAAAAUCGGAUAAAUAAGCUAAAUAUGACAGUUGAGCGACCGUGCUAGAACCACGGAACUCGGGAAUCCCUAACACCUUCUCCCGGAUUAACAUAAUUCCUUAUCUGGAUUCUGGUGGGCAGACUGUUAAAUAGAGUCAUUCUUUUCCUCGAUUCGGGAUUUAACCGGUGACUUGGGACACUAUAAAUUUCACAAGUAGCGACCUGAAUCUCUAAUAAAUAAUCCCGUUGCAAUUGUUCUUUAAUUAGAAAAACUCAUCUACACCCUUGCGGGGGCGUUAAAAGGAGGUGUGACAGCUCUGGCGACUCUGCUGGGGAACGAACCCAGAAUCUCAGGUUCAGGGUUCAGAAUUCGAGCUUGGAUAAAUUGUUGUAUUUGACUAUAUCUGAUUUUCCUAUAUGCUUUAUGCUGAAUGUGCUAAAUGUUACCGCUUUAAUAUUAUCUGAACUGUAUAUAAACUUUGUCGACACCCUUCUCUCUUUACCUCCGAGGAUGUGCUUACUGGUUGAGACUCCCUAUUCUGUUAGUUUCAUACCUUGAAAUAAGAAAGAGGCUCGGACAAGUUACGAAGUCGGAUGACCUUUUGGUUCCCGGUAAGUUGCCCCCUCCUCGACUCGAGUUGUCCGCUCGGGUACACAGUCUAUAACACCGACCCAAGUUUUGAACAUAGAUAACGUGACUUCAUACCGGAUCCCUAGUAGGAACGUUUAUUUGCAUCAUGUUGCAUUUGACUUAGGGGAUUCAACACAGGGGUUGGGUCCGUCUAGGACUAGCAACCUGAAAUGAAAAAGACCAUCCUGAUGCAUUUUAUUUGUUUUCCAUGCACUUAUUUAUUUUGGACCCGCAUGUUGACCGGUUUUUGAAUCUCGUAAAUGUCGGAAUUCGAAAAAAAAUGAGAGAAAUAGCUGUUAGGGAGUUAAUAUUUUGAUAAAAUACGUUGCCUAAGUACUGUCGAAACUCCGCCGAAAUUUUGAAAAUAAAAAAAAUAUUUUUUUAUGUAGUUUGUUUUUUUAAAAGCAAAAGGAAAUGGAAAAAACAUGAGUCUUUUAUUUUGGAAAAAUUGGUUGAAAAAUAGAAAAAUAAUGGUCAUUUUGAUUUGAUUUCAAAAUUAGAAAAUGGAAAACCUUAGAAAAAGUUUUUAAAAUUAGUUUAUUUGGUCGAACUACGCAGGUUUGAUUCUCACCGGGUGUGAGAUACGUAAGCAACCCUCAUCGGGUCCAACCUCCCCUUUGCUCAAAAAAAUAUCAAAGUUUUUAUUUUUCGUCAUAAAGGAGUCGGGUGACGCUGUCUUUUGUCAAAUAGCUACCUUUGGGUCAUGUUUUUUAGAUUUUGGCCAGUUGACCCAUACAACCUUAAAAUCUUCGUCCGCGAAGUGCCGAAAGGUCGUCUUUGCAAAACUUGGCCUUUUAUUUUAAUUUAAAAAAAAGUCAGUGGGCAAGUGAUUGCCGUUAGAAUUGUUAGUCAAAACAAGCCGAGCCAGCUUCAGCAAUGUAUUAAACUGUUCUUGCCGAGAUAGCCUUAGAGUAUCUUUCAGUUGUCGAAAGGCUAUUUUCGUAAAAGAAUGGACCAGUUUGUAGUGUCAUAAAAUAAUCCUCCACAACCUCAAAAUUCAUGUAAAAUUAGGAAGGGGCCACGCUUGUAAUUCUUCUGAUUAGGGUGUGGUAUGUUUUGAUUUUCAAGUAUGUAGGUCAUCUUUUCGUCAAAGUCUAAAAUGGUCAGUUUUUAAACCGUUGUAAUAAUGUUUGUUUUAUUAUGAAAAUUGAAUUUUUUUAAAGAAAAUGUUUUAUUGUUGUUUAUCUUUUAUUGGUCCGAACUACGCACGGUCUGAUUCAUGCGGGGUCAUGAUACGUAAGCAACUCCACAAGAUUCGGCCACAAUAAAAAAAUUAAAAAAAGUGGAAAUGAAAUAAACAAAAGAUGUUGUUGAUGACUAUAAAAUAGUCAUAUAUUAUAUACUUAAAAAUAAAUUAUUUUAAAUUAUAUAUAUAUAUAUAUAUAAUAUGUCAAUUAUGUAUAUUUUCUAAUAGUAUUUUGCAGGAAAUAAAAAUAUCAUGAUAAAAAAAAUAAAGGAAUAAAAAAGAAGCACGAGGCAUCAUAGCAAAAGAAGCACGAGGCAUCGUGGCAAAAAAAGCACAAGGCAUCAUGAUAAAAGAAGCAUGAUGCAACAUGGCACCUUUUGAUAUUUGAUUUCUAUAAAUAGUAUAUCAUAUUUGUGUUGAAGAGAGAAGAUCAUACGUACCUAACAAAAUAACUUUUCUUUAGAUUUAGUCUUUACUUCUUUAUUUAUAUAUUUCAUUUUAUCUUGUAGUGUUGAGGGAAUUUUCUAAGAGUGUUGACAUUAUUUUAAGAAUUCCUUUCUUUGUGAGAUUUAAAUACUCCAUAAUGAAGUAAUCUCUUUUGUUGGGAUAUUUGAUGAAGCUCGAUAUCGUUAUAAUAUUAAUCUCAAUUUUACUACAUGCUUGACCUGAAACUUUCUAAUUAUAUUUCUAUAUUGUGCUGGAAUUUUAGUUUUAAUUAAUUAUUAUCAGUUCUAUCUAUUUAUUCUCCAAAGUUAAUUGUAUGUCAAUUUUGUAAUUCUCACAAAGCAAAAUUUAUAUACGAUAUCUAUUGGGUAAAAUAAUAGAGUGAGAGUAAUUCUUUUUAAGCUAUCAUUCCAAGUCUGUAGUCUUGCUUACUUCCAUUCUAAUUCUCGCGGAGGAGUUGUAGUUGGCAAGAUUAUUGAUUUUUAGUAAAAAGUAAUUGCAAGAGGUUUUUACUAUCUUAUUGCACAAUUCAGACAAGAAAAUUAUUUCAGUUUAAUCGUCACGAGUCAUAUAUCAAUUGAUUUACAUAUUUCUCAUGGAGUGUUAUUAAUUGAUUAUUUCUUGGUGAGCAAAUAUAAUUGUAUUAGCAAUAAACAGUCUAAGAGAAAUACAUGUAGAACCUAAGAUUUUAUUAUUAUCACGCUAUCGAGUGAAUUCAAUNNNNNNNNNNNNNNNNNNNNNNNNNNNNNNNNNNNNNNNNNNNNNNNNNNNNNNNNNNNNNNNNNNNNNNNNNNNNNNNNNNNNNNNNNNNNNNNNNNNNNNNNNNNNNNNNNNNNNUUAUUUUGUUUCAACUUAAGCAAUUUAGAUCUUCAACAAACAAAACUUCAUCAAUUUGGUUCUCUCAAAUAGUAGUAAGAAUAUUAUAAGUUUGUAUCUAGAUUUCCAAUCUCUGUGGGACGAUAUCUUAAACUAUAUUAGAAUUUGACUAAGCAGGAAAAUCUUAUACACACUGGCCUCGUCAAAUUUUUGGCGCCGUUGUCGGGGAUUGGCAUAAGUCUACUUCAAAUUAAAUAUUUUAUUACUAAUUUGAGAAUUUAUUUUAUAUAUAUAUAUAUAUAUAUAUAUAUAUACUAUUACUAUUAUAUCCAUUCUAACAUUUUUUUUCGUAGUAAUAUAAAUAUUUUCCCCUUCUUUCUCAUUGUUGUAGCCAUUAGCUGCUGUUUUUAUUUUUAAUAUGUGUAGAUAUAAUUAAUGUGUAUAUUUAUAACUCUUAUGAUAUUUUCAGCAACUUCAUGUCAUAGUACUUUCAUCAUAAUAUACUAUUUGUGCUAACUAUCUUUUCCUUUAAUAUAGAUGAUUAUUAUUACUAAGUGUACUAUUCAUUACUACUACUUUUCUUUUACUAUUUUCUUUUAGUGACACUGUUAUUGUAGGAAUUAAGUUUAAUUGUCAUUAAAAAAAUUUUAUUUAAAAAAAUCACUUAGUUUAUGACCCGCUCUUCUACAAAAAAGUUAGCACAUUAUAAUCCUAAAAUUGAAAAAUCUCUUCGUUUACGCAGGAACGAACAAACAUCAUCUUCUCAGAGUAUAGAUUGUGAAGGAAUGGAAAACCAGGGAUUAGAAGAUAUCAAUCCACGCGAAGUCCCACCACCAGUCCAAAUAGAGGAUCAAUUUGAUGAAGUGGCGCCAAGACCAGCAAACAGAAUCCUAAGGGAUUAUGCUAGACCUGACCACUUCAACUGUGAAUCUAGUGUCAGGAAGCCCCUAGUGGCUGCCAACAACUUUGAAAUCAGAACCAGCCUGAUUCAGACGAUCCAACAAUCUUGUAUAUUUACUGGAGAUUCAAGUGAAGAUCCACAUAUUCAUCCAAUUGAUUUUCUAGAACUAGUUGAAACUGCUAAGUAUAAUGGAGUAUCCCCUGAAGCAAUUAAGUUAAGGUUAUUUCCUUUUUCUUUAAAAGGAGAUGCUAAGACUUGGUUGCGAAGCUUGCCUAAAGGAUCAAUUACCACAUGAGACCAAAUGACUCAAAAAAUUUAAAUACUAACACUUGGUUGCGAAGUUUUCCUCAAGGAUCAAUUACCACAUGAGACCAGAUGACUCAAAAAAUUUUAAAUAAAUAUUUUUCCCCUGCUAAAACCACAAAGUUAAGACAAGACAUAUCUAAUCUAAUUUCUCGCAGACUGACACAUAGUCAGUUUAUCAAGCCUGGGAAAGGUUAAAAGCAAUGUUAAGAAAAUGUCCACACCACGAUAUUUCUGAACAUAUGCAGUUGUAUAUUUUUUAUCACAGGCUAAAACCCUCUUCAAGAAAUGUGAUAGAUGCAGCUGCAGGAGGUUCAGUAAUGGGAAAAACAACAGAGGAAGUAUUACAAUUAUGAAUGAAAAUUUUGAGAACGCCAUCCAAUGGCCAUCUGAGCGUAUAAUUAUCAAGAAGGCUGCUACAGUAAAUUAGGUUGAUGCUUUAAAUACACUAACACAACAAAUUGUUUCUUUGGCACAAAAGUUUGAAACUUUUUAGGUGAAUACACAACAACCAAGCCAAGCUGAGGCUUGUGACAUGUGUGGAGGAAAUCAUCGUAACCAUGAAUGUCAAGCAACCAAUCACAAUGAUGAACAUGUUAAUGUCAUCGGUUACAAGCAGUAUCCUUUUGGAAGUCCAAUGGCACAGAAACAUCCAGGAUUUCAAUGGAGCAAUCCAAAUGGUGCAGAGAACUCUCAAAGCUUCCAGAAGUAACAAAUACAGGGUCCACCCGGAUACCAGAAUCCAAACCAUGGUCAAUCAAACUUUAGACCUUAUCAACAAGCAGUGACCUAUUAACAAAUACAGGGUCCACCCGGAUAUCAGAAUCCAAACCAUGGUCAAUCAAACUUUAGACCUUAUAAACAAGAAGGGCCCUAUCAGCAAAGGUCUCAACAAGUUCAUUCAAGUCUUGAUGAUCUCCUAUAUAAGUAUAUUAAGGUCACUGAUGAAAAUAUGGAGAACCAAAAUUCAUUCCUCAAAAAUCAGGAAAUACAGUUGAGCCAAUUGGCAGCUCUUCAGAAAAGAUUCAAGGUCCCUUACAAAGCAAUACAGAGAAAAAUCCAAAAUAUCACCUUAAGGCCAUCACCUUACGGUCAGGUAAGGAGCUUGAUGAACCAUAUACAGACCAGUUAGAACAACAGGUAAACAACGGUAAGAAUGUUGAAAUAAUCUCUGAACCAUCCGAAAAGAAUGAAGUCAAGAAAAAAGAAGAAAAAAUAUUAAAAAUUGACUCAUCUCUCUGUAACUAUUCCCUUUCCACAAAAAAUGAAAAGAGAAAAGCUUGACAACCAAUUUGCAAAAUUUUUGGAGAUUUUAAAACAAAUUCACAUCAAUAUUCUUUCUACUGAUGCUUUGUUGCAAUUGCCUUCAUAUGCUAAAUUUUUAAAGGAAAUUUUGUGAAGUAAAAGAAAAUUAGAAGAAGUUUCUUAUGUUUUGUUACAAAUGCCUUCGUAUUCAAUUUUUAAAGGAAAUUUUGUCAAGUAAAAGAAAAUUAGAAGAAGUUUCUGUGGUAAUGCUUACGGAAAAAUAUAGUGUUAUACUUCAAAAUAAGCUACCACCAAAAUUUGGUGAUCUAGGCAGUUUUACAAUUCCAUGUACUUUGGGAGGAGUAUAUUUUGAAAAAGCAUUUUGUGAUUCUGGAGCUUCAAUAAAUUUAAUGCCAUUUUAUAUCUUUAAAAAGUUAGAUCUUGGUUAAAUAAAAGACACAAGUAUUUCUCUUCAGUUUGCAUAUCAAAGUACUAAGAAACCUAAGGGAAUAAUUGAAAAUGUACUCGUAAGAGUAGAUAAGUUUGUUUUCCCUGUAGAUUUUAUAGUGCUUGAAAUGAAAUAAUGUCCUAAUGAACCAAUAAUUUUAGGUAGACCAUUUAUUGCUACAGGAAGAGCAAUUAUAGAUGUUCAUCAAGGACAACUAAUUUUGAGAGUUGAUGAAGAGAGAGUCAUCUUUGAUAUGCAAAUUCAGGAGAUGAAACAUCAUCUUCAUGUUUUUCAAUUGACAUGAUUAGUUAUCUUACAGAUGAAUUCAAAGAUGAUCAAUUAAAUUCAGAUUCAAAGGAAAGAUGCUUGAUCAAAUCAGGCACCACACAUGACGAUGAUCUCACAAUCAGAAGUGAAGCUGAAAUAUUUGACAAAGAUUCAGAGGAAGAAGAGAUGACAUCCGAAGAAGUUCAAUCAAAAAUUGAACUCAAAACUCUCCCUUCUCAUUUGAAUUAUGUAUAUCUUGAGAAAGAAUUAUUUCCAGUAAUUAUUUCAUCUUCUCUUGCUGCAGAACAAGAAAGUAGUUUGAUUAAAGUAUUGAAAGCACACAAAGGAGCCUUAGGGUAGGCUGUAGAAGAUAUUAAAGGAAUUAGUCCGGCUAUUUGUACACAUAGAAUCCUCAUAGAGGAUAGCUACAAGCGAAUAGUCCAGCCACAAAGAAGAUUGAAUCCAGCAAUGCAGGAAGUAGUGAAGAAAGAGAUCGUAAAGCUGUUUGCACCAGGUAUUAUAUACCCCAUUUCUGAUAGCCCGUGGGUAAGUCCCGUUCAGGUAGUACCAAAGANNNNNNNNNNNNNNNNNNNNNNNNNNNNNNNNNNNNNNNNNNNNNNNNNNNNNNNNNNNNNNNNNNNNNNNNNNNNNNNNNNNNCUAUAAAAAAUAAAAAUAAUGAGCUCAUACCUACCAGGACUGUUACAGGAUGGAGAGUCUGUAUUGAUUACAGACGUCUUAAUGAUGUCACUAGAAAAGAUCAUUUUCCUUUGCCAUUUAUUGAUCAAAUGUUGGAAAGAAGUGCAAGAUAUGGUUUUUACUGUUUUCUUAAUGGUUAUUCAGGAUAUAAUCAGAUACCAAUUGCACUAGAAGAUCAAGAUAAGACAAUCUUCACAUGCCCUCAUGGAACAUAUGCCUAUAGGAGAAUGCUCGGGUCUGUGCAACGCCCCUGCUACAUUUUAGCGUUGUAUGUCGGCAAUUUUUGCUGACAUGAAUGACAAAUUUCUUGAAAUUUUUAUGGAUGAUUUUACACUAUUUGGAAAAACAUAUAAGGAUUGUCUUAACCACUUGACCUUAGUUCUUAAAAGAUGUAAAGGAACAAACUUAGUUCUUAAUUGGGAAAAUGUCAUUUUAUGGUUACAACGGGAAUUAUUUUACGACAUAAAAUCAAUGCUAAAGGGAUAGAAGUUGAUAAGCCAAAAUUAAUCUUAUAGCACGAUUACCCCCUCCCACAACUGUGAAAGGCAUUAGGAGCUUUCUAGGUCAUGCAAGUUUUUACAGACGAUUCAUAGAAGAUUUCUCAAAGAUUUCAAAACCACUGACUAACCUCUUGAUGAAAGACAUUAAGUUUGACUUUUUUAGGUGAAUGUGUGAAAGCGUUUGAAACCCUUAAGGAAAAGUUAUCAACUGCACCUGUAAUUGUGUCCCCUGAUUGGAACCAACCUUUUGAGGUCAUGUGUGUUGUUAGUGAUAUACCGGUUGGAGCAGUUUUAUACCAAAGAAAAGAAAGGAUAUUCCGUCCUAUUUUCUAUGCUAGUAGGACACUGAGUAAGACUCAAGUGAAUUAUGCCACGACAGAAAAAGAGUUACUAGCAGUAGUGUUUGCUUUUGAUAUAUGCUAGUAGGACAUUGAGUGAGACUCAAGUUAAUUAUGCCACGACAGAAAAAAAAAUUACUCACAGUAGUGUUUGCUUUUGAUAAAUUUCGUUCCUAUUUAAUAGGAACAAAGGUCAUUGUUUUUACUGAUCAUGCAGCUUUAAAAUACCUCUUAGCUAAGAAAGAUGCUCGACCUAGAUUAUUAAGAUAGAUUUUAUUUCUGCAAGAAUUUGACCUUGAGAUAAAGGUCAAGAAAGGGAUAGAGAACCAAGUAGCUGACCAUUUGUCUAGAUUAGAAAACCCUCCCCUUGAUUUUAAUGAGCUUAAAGAAGAAUUUCCUGAUGAACAUAUUUUCUCAGUUAACACAAUUGUGACUCAACCACCCUGGUCUGCAGAUAUUGCGAAUUACUUGGUUGGAAAGUGGAUACCGCAGGAUUUCUCUUAUCAGCAAAGAAAAAAGCUUAUAUCUGAUGCAAAGUAUUAUCUGUGGGAUGAACCUUACUCAUUCAAAAAUUGUGCAGAUAAUAUCAUUAGAAGGUGUGUACCUACUUAUAUCUGAUGCAAAGUAUUAUCUGCGGGAUGAACCUUAAUUAUUCAAAAAUUGUGCAGAUAAUAUCAUUAGAAGGUGAAGAAGAGAUGAAUAAAAUUCUAUAUCACUGUCAUGAUGGAGCAACUAGAGGACAUUAUGCAGCAAAUCGAACAGCUUUUAAAGUUUUAGAAGCUAGAUUCUUCUGGCCCACACUCUUCUAAGAUGCUCGAGCAUAUGUAGCACAAUGUGACAGGUAUCAGAGAACAUGUAAUAUCACCAAAAGAGAUGAGAUGUCACUGCAAUGGAUUCUUUUGGCCCACACUCUUCAAAGAUGCCCGAGCAUAUGUAGCACAAUGUGACAGGUGUCAGAGAACAGGUAAUAUCACCAAAAGAGAUGAGAUGUCACUGCAAUCAAUACAGGUAUGUGAAAUAUUUGAUGUUUGGGGAAUAGAUUUUAUGGGUCCUUUCCUUCUUCUCACUCUUUUGAGUAUAUUCUUGUGGCUGUGGAUUAUAUGUCAAAAUGGGUUGAAGCCAUCCCCACAAGAAAGAAUGAUGUUCGUACAGUGUGUAAUUUUCUUAGAAAAAAUAUUUUUACUAGAUUUGGCACAUCGCGAAUCAUUAUUAGUGACCAAUGAACUCAUUUUAUCAAUAGACAAUUUUCUGCUUUACUGUCAAAAUAUAAUGUGGCUCACAAAAUCGGAACACCAUAUCAUGCUCAAACUCAAGGGCAAGUUGAGGUUUCCAACCGCGAGUUAAAAAGAAUUCUUGAAAAAAUGGUUGGAAUCUCAAAAAAAGAUUGAGCUUUAAAAUUAGAUGAUGCACUAUGGGCGUACCGUACGGCUUUCAAAACGUCAAUUGGAACAUAUCCAUAUAGAUUAGUCUUUGAAAAAGCUUGUCAUUUGCCCGUAGAAUUAGAACAUAAAGCUUUUUGGGCAUUGAAAGCGCUGAACUUUGAUUUAACCUCUGCUGGUAAAAAGCGAUUUAUUCAGGUUAAUGAAUUGGAAGAACUGAGAUUGGGAGCCUAUGAAAAUGCUAAAAUGUUUAACGGCUUUCAAAACGUCAAUUGGAACAUAUCCAUAUAGAUUAGUCUUUGAAAAAGCUUGUCAUUUGCCCGUAGAAUUAGAACAUAAAGCUUUUUGGGCAUUGAAAGCACCGAACUUUGAUUUAACCUCUACUGGUAAAAAGCGAUUUAUUCAGGUUAAUGAAUUGGAAGAACUGAGAUUGGUAGCUUAUGAAAAUGCUAAAAUGUUUAAAGAAAAAACGAAAAUAUGGCAUGAGAAGUUGAUCCGACCAAAGAGUUUUAAAAUUGGAGAUCAGGUACUUCUUUAUAAUAGCCGACUCAGGUUAUUCCCAGGAAAAUUAAAAUCCAGGUGGACAGGUCCUUACAAUGUUACAGGCGUUACUCCAUACGGGACAAUAGAAAUUCAGAAAAAUGGAGGAGCCAGGUGGACAGGUCCUUACAAUGUUACAGGCGUUACUCCAUACGGGACAAUAGAAUUUCAGAAAAAUGGAGGAGACAAGUUUAAGGUAAAUGGUCACAUGCUAAAAUUGUACUUUGGAAGAAACUUUGAACAACAUCAAUCGGUUACUUUGAUAGAUUGAUGAAUUUAGCAAUUAAUAAGUCGAGCUGAAGAUGUUAAACUCAGAACUAAGAUAUAAAACCCGUAGCCAUUGAGGGAGAAGCAGUGGAACCUCAUAAACCCGGCAUAGAAUUAGGGUAAUUUAAUGCUUAAUCAAUUCAUCUGGUCAAUAUUCAGGUUAUUGUACAACCAAAACAUCUCAUGAAGGCCUCUACAAAAACAGAGUCACAUGUACACGAGUAACUCCAUGGUGACCGGUAUGCCUAAGUAACCGGUUGAUUAACCAUUUAACGAAUCAAUUCAAAAUAUUGGCACAGGUAAAUUUAUUGUUUUAUAUUUAAACCAGGACCAAAUGACUGAUAAGAUCUUAAACUAGUCAGUUUAUUACAUAUAAAAACAUGUGUUGUCACACACUCUUUCAAGUUUUUUCUUCUCUAUCCUAUAUAUAUAUAUAUAUAAUUUCAAUGGAGCAAUCCAAAUGGUAAUUGAGAAGUAUUAUGAGCUCAACAGGUAGAAUCAAUAAAAUUCUACUGGAACUUACCCCAAAUGUCUAUCAAGGCGAAAUUCUAGACAACACUAUUUUUAGAAUGAAAUUAGGCUUUCUUUGACACCCUUUUUAGCCUAUCCAUUUUUAACCACAAAUAUUUAUAUUUUACCUUUUAGCACCCAACUUUGAGCCAAACGAAAAAAAAAGAAAAAAAGGGAUAAACCAACUUUUAUUUAUACAUCAUAUUGGUUUAUCUUAAAAAACAAGUUGAUACUACUCCUUCCGGCUAGAGUUGAGCAAAAAUAAUUAUUAAAGCAAGCGGUGAAGGAAUACUUAAGGAGUAAAUGUUCUAUUACACUACUAAAAAAGUGAAGAAGAAGAGGAAAACAAGGUGUAUAUACCUAUAAAAUAAAUUAUUGGUUCAAGAAGCUUGAAUUUAAGAAAUCUAUUGAGAGAAUAAUGACUUAUGUGUUAUGAAUUAUGAAAUUGGAGACCGGGGCCUUUAGCCCAAUCUCUAGAGUUAUUUUCUUUGUGUUGAAUUGUAUAUAAUUAUUUUGGUAAAAUAAUCAGCUCGCAUAAUAAAGCUGGAUGGAACAAAGUCACUACAAAUAUAUCCUUUUACCUUACCAGCAUUAAGCCUAUCAUUACAAGCCUGAAAAACUCAUAAAAUAAUUUUAGAAAUUAGUGUUGAUUUUUAUCAUUACAAGCCUGAAAAAGUUCUAAAAUAAUUUUAAAAAUUAAUGUUGAUUCUACAUUAGUGAAAACUGACAUGAAGGGCAAGCCUAUGGAAGAAAUUUGAGAAACUCGAAAUUGUAAUCAUAAUGUUAUCAAUCUCAAAAGGAUCAUCAAAAGAGGAGUUGAAAGUUUUUGGCAAACAAAAGCAGAAGCAGAAACAAGGUAAAGAUUUGGUGACUUGAAAUACUUAUAGGUUUUGAAUUUUAUGUGAAAUUUUAUUUUUUUACUUUUCUACUCUACAAGAAACAACAAUUAUUAAUAAAAUUAUUGCCUCGAGGACGAGCAAAAAUUCAAGCGUGGGGGAGUUUGAUGACUAUAAAAUAUUCAUAUAUUAUAUACUUAAAAAUAAAUUACUUUAAAUUAUAUAUAUAUAUAUAUAUAUACAUGGAAAACGAAGGACGAGGCAUCGUGGCAAAAGAAGCACAAGACCUUAUGAUAAAAGAAGCAUGAGGCAACAUGACACCUUAUGAUAUUUGAUUUCUAUAAAUAGUAUGUCAUAUUUGUGCUGAAGAGAGAAGAUCAUACGUACCUAACAAAAUAACUUUUCUUUAGAUUUAGUCUUUACAUCUUUCUUUAUAUAUUCACUUUAUCUUGUAGUCUUGAGGGAAUUUACUAAGAGUGUUGACAUUAUUUUAAGAAUUCCUUUCUUUGUGAGAUUUAAAUACUCCAUAAUGGAGUAAUCUCUUUUGUUGAGAUAGUUGAUGAAGCUCGAUAUCUUUACAAUAUUAAUCUCAAUUUUACUAUAUGCUUGACCUGAAACUUUCUAAUUACAUUUUUAUAUUGUGCUGGAAUGUUAGUUUGAUGAAGCUCGAUAUCGUUAUAAUAUUAAUCUCAAUUUUACUACAUGCUUGAGCUGAAACUUUCUACUUAUAUUUCUAUAUUGUGCUCGAAUGUUAGUUUUAAUUAAUUAUUAUCACUUCUAUCUAUUUAUUCUCCAAAGUUAGUUGUAUGUCAAUUUUGUAAUUCUCACGAAGCAAAAUUAAUAUACGAUAUAUAUUGGGUAAAAUAAUAGAGCGAGAGUAAUCUUUUUAAACUAUCAUUCCAAGUCUGUAAUCUUGCUUACUUCCAUUCUAAUUAUCACAGAGGAGUUGUAGUUAGAAAUAUUAUUGAUUUUUAGUAAAAACUAAUCGCAAGAGGUUUUUACUAUCUUAUAGCACAACUUAGGCAAGAAAAUUAUUUCAAUUUAUAGUCACGAGUCAUAUAUCAAUUGAUUUACAUAAUAUUUGCGGAGUGUUAUUAAUCGAUUAUUUCUUGGUGAGCAAAUAUCAGUGGUGUUAAACAGGUCUACCGGGUCGGUCCGGGUCCAAAAAUUUUCGACUCGUCCGGGUUCCGGGCCGGACCGGUCCGGGUUGCACAGUGACAGGUUCUUACCGAGCUGGGUUAGUUUGAGUUAAAAUUGAAUCAUACGGGUUACGGGUUUAAGUGGCCCGGGCGGUGCCGGGUUUAGUUUUUUUUUUUGGAAUUAUGUGUAGUAUAACUAUUAAGUUAUAUUAAUACUUUGUAAAUUGUAANNNNNNNNNNNNNNNNNNNNNNNNNNNNNNNNNNNNNNNNNNNNNNNNNNNNNNNNNNNNNNNNNNNNNNNNNNNNNNNNNNNNNNNNNNNNNNNNNNNNNNNNNNNNNNNNNNNNNNNNNNNNNNNNNNNNNNNNNNNNNNNNNNNNNNNNNNNNNNNNNNNNNNNNNNNNNNNNNNNNNNNNNNNAGCAAAGUAGUAAGUUCAAAUGUUUUGCAUCGCCCUAUCGAGUUCAUCAUAAUCAAUAUGAACUGAUUGACCUUAUUCUGGCGAGUUAAAUUCGGAUGGGUUUUUAAAUUCGGAUGGGUUUCCAUGAGUUAAUAUAUCUCCAAGUUCCUUGUCUUCUGCGCUAUCAACAUCCUCUUUUCCUUGAUUUCUUCGUUCUGAUCUAAUCCAAUCAAUGAAACAUACUAAAACUUCCAAAGCAUUGCUUCCCAAUGAGUGGCGGGUGUCUCCAAGUUGUUGUCUUGCUUGGCUAAAUGCACUCUCCGACGCAACAGUGGAAAUUGGCACAUUCAGGACGUCCCGAGCCAUAGCGCAAAGAACGAGAAAUUGCUUUUCAUUUUCAUGCCACCAUCCCAACGGUGAAAAUUCCUUUUUGCGAGACUCCUUUUGCUUCUGCAAGUAGAAUUGAAGCUCAUCAAUAUUCCUGUUACUGGUUUAAGUGUUAGAAAAUGUAGAAAAAAUAUUAAAACUAUCGAGGCCUUCAUCAUUCACAUUAGCAGAACUACUACAUUGCAUAGCGGGAUUAACAUCGCCAGAAGCACGAGCAAUAUUAUCACAUUCAUUUGCAUAAUAAUUAUACAGUUGUUGUAAAUAUUCAUUUAACUUGUUCAUAGAAUCAUAUAAAUUUGGGGUUUCAGUUUCUCCAAUCUCCAUAUAAGUUUAUAAAAUAUUAAUUAAUUGGAGACAAUUAGACAUUUUAAUAGAGGAUUUAAAACUGCACCUAUUAAGUAAAUCGGAGGAAUUGAAAAGAAAUAUUUUUUGAAUUUUGCUUGCAUUUUUUCAACUACAUCCUUAUAUUUUUCUUUCUUCUUAAAUUUAGAUAGUAGCAAAGAAAUUUCAGCUAUAUGUACUAAAUCCAUAGUAAUAGUGGGGUAAUAUGCCCCAGAAAACACAACAGUAGCAGCAUAAAAUUUAUGUAAAAAUUUAACAACAUCAUUAAUGACCUCCAAAGUAUCACUUGUUAACAUACACCUAGGAUCAGUACAAUGUGCAUUAGCAACUUGAGUUAUAGGAAAUCUAUAUUUGUAGCAACAUUUUAAAAAUAUAUAUGUAUAAUUCCAUCUGGUAACAAUUUCGUCUGGCAUGAAUCUAGGUUUAAGGUUAUACUGGAUACACUUAGUCUUAAAUUCUUUUAUUCUAGAUUGUCUAUUAUUUCCCUGAAUAUGAAUCUAGGUGUAAGGUUAUACUGGAUACACUUAGUCUUAAAUUCUUUUGUUCUAGAUUGUCUAUUAUUUCCUUGAAUAACACCAACUUCUCUUCUAACAUGAGUAAUCUCACUGUAAAAUAAAUCAAGGCCACUUUUAACAAUUAAAUUAUAAAUAUGACAUGCACACCUAACUUGAAAAAUAUCAUCAAGAGGUGGUUGCAAAUGCAAUUUUAAAAUUGAAACUGCGGCAUUAUUGNNNNNNNNNNNNNNNNNNNNNNNNNNNNNNNNNNNNNNNNNNNNNNNNNNNNNNNNNNNNNNNNNNNNNNNNNNNNNNNNNNNNNNNNNNNNNNNNNNNNNNNNNNNNNNNNNNNNNNNNNNNNNNNNNNNNNNNNNNNNNNNNNNNNNNNNNNNNNNNNNNNNNNNNNNNNNNNNNNNNNNNNNNNNNNNNNNNNNNNNNNNNNNNNNNNNNNNNNNNNNNNNNNNNNNNNNNNNNNNNNNNNNNNNNNNNNNNNNNNNNNNNNNNNNNNNNNNNNNNNNNNNNNNNNNNNNNNNNNNNNNNNNNNNNNNNNNNNNNNNNNNNNNNNNNNNNNNNNNNNNNNNNNNNNNNNNNNNNNNNNNNNNNNNNNCUCUAAUGGCUAAACAAAUAACGUAUGUAUGUUUGAUAUUGUCCAUGAAAUUUAAAGAUGUCUGCUCUACAAGUACUUCUAGGGAUACCUUUAGAUAAAGGAUUGUAAAUCCUUUGAAUAUACAUAAUAAGAUACGAUGAAGAAGCAAAAGAAAUAGGUAAACAACCCAAAGUAAUCAUUUUUGCUAAUUCCUCACGAUCCCUCAUUUUAACAUAUUUUACUAAACCUCCAGUAGCAUGGUUAAUAGUUGUUUGACUUUCAUCCCCAUUAUUGCCCCAUUCUAUGGGAUGGAUAGACAUCAUAUGUCUAGUAAGUGUCCUAGUCCCCCCUAAAUUUCCUCCGGUCAAAUGUUUAAAAGUUUCGUUACAAAGUUUGCACUUAACUCUAUUAGCCUUCUAUUAUUUCAAAAAAUUUCCAUACCGGACUUCUUCUUUUACGAUUAGAAGUCAGAGCCACUGGUGGUCUACUACCCCUUGUAGCACUAGAAACUCCAACCCCAAUAUUACCAACAUUUCCACUACUAGGUGUAGGUGGUAUCUCAUCUUCUAUUCCAAUUUCAUUAUCUUCUAUUCCAAAAUCUUCUUGUAAUUGUUCAN
rnacentral:lncRNA from 1 species